UACGUAGGGUGCAAGCGUUAAUCGGAAUUACUGGGCGUAAAGCGUGCGCAGGCGGUUUUGUAAGUCUGUCGUGAAAUCCCCGGGCUCAACCUGGGAAUGGCGAUGGAGACUGCAAGGCUAGAAUCUGGCAGAGGGGGGUAGAAUUCCACGUGUAGCAGUGAAAUGCGUAGAUAUGUGGAGGAACACCGAUGGCGAAGGCAGCCCCCUGGGUCAAGAUUGACGCUCAUGCACGAAAGCGUGGGGAGCAAACAGG
rnacentral:rRNA from 1 species